rnacentral:rRNA from 1 species
GAUGAACGCUGGCGGCGUGCUUAACACAUGCAAGUCGAACGGACGGACUCGAUAGCUUGCUAUUGGGAAAGUUAGUGGCAAACGGGUGAGUAACGCGUAGGCAACCUGCCCUUCAGAUGGGGACAACACUUCGAAAGAGGUGCUAAUACCGAAUGACGUAUCCAUUCCGCAUGGAGAGGAUACCAAAGGCCGGGCAACCGGUCACUGGAGGAUGGGCCUGCGUCUGAUUAGCUAGUUGGUGGGGUAACGGCCUACCAAGGCGAUGAUCAGUAGCCGGUCUGAGAGGAUGAACGGCCACAUUGGGACUGAGACACGGCCCAGACUCCUACGGGAGGCAGCAGUGGGGAAUCUUCCGCAAUGGACGAAAGUCUGACGGAGCAACGCCGCGUGAACGAUGACGGCCUCGGUGUAAGUUACUGUUAUACGGUACGAAUAGGCGUAGCGGUCG